CGGUUCCGAGGCCCGCGAGCGUGGGCCAGGUCCUCACUGCUUGCUGCGCACCCAGCGAACCGGCGGUCUCCGGCCUCCUCGCCAUGGCCAGCAAUGUCCCACCGACCCCCAGGGGGUCCUUCCCGAGGUACCUGGAGCACCUCUCCGGGUCCGGCAAAGCCAUCGGUGUGCUAACCAGCGGCGGGGAUGCCCAAGGUCUAUUUUAGCAAUACUGGCAAUGGGGUGGAACCACCCUUGGAGGUCGUUCUGUAUUUGAGUCAUAGAAUGGAGCCAGGCAUCCCUGCCAGAGCUUGAGUACCGCACGACUCCCCGGAUGCCACAGUACCCACCCUUUGGGGAUCUUCCCAGCCCCCCAAUUGUAGGAAAAACAGCUCCCCCUCCCCACCGCGCCUCCUGCCGACUCGCGCCCCCCGCGCGGCGCUGGCGUAGUCUCCUCUGCUGCAUUGCGGGACGUGGCGGGGGUCGCGCAGGGGGUCCCUCCUCUGUGCUGCCUCUGCUAAGCCGCGCAGGGGGUCCCUCCUCUGUGCUGCCUCUGCUAACCCGCUGCGCCCGACGUUUCCGCCGGGAGAUUUUAAAAAAGGUUUCUCUGCUCUGA